rnacentral:rRNA from 1 species
GAUGAACGCUGGCGGCGUGCCUAAUACAUGCAAGUCGAGCGAACGGACGAGAAGCUUGCUUCUCUGAUGUUAGCGGCGGACGGGUGAGUAACACGUGGAUAACCUACCUAUAAGACUGGGAUAACUUCGGGAAACCGGAGCUAAUACCGGAUAAUAUUUUGAACCGCAUGGUUCAAAAGUGAAAGACGGUCUUGCUGUCACUUAUAGAUGGAUCCGCGCUGCAUUAGCUAGUUGGUAAGGUAACGGCUUACCAAGGCAACGAUGCAUAGCCGACCUGAGAGGGUGAUCGGCCACACUGGAACUGAGACACGGUCCAGACUCCUACGGGAGGCAGCAGAAGGGAAUCUUCCGCAAUGGGCGAAAGCCUGACGGAGCAACGCCGCGUGAGUGAUGAAGGUCUUCGGAUCGUAAAACUCUGUUAUUGGGGAAGAACAUAUGUGUAAGUAACUGUGCACAUCUUGACGGUACCUAAUCAGAAAGCCACGGCUAACUACGUG